AGUAUGAAGUUGAUCAUAUGUCUGAAAAACUCGGAUAUUGUGUGAUGCCAUCAACUUCUCAACUUCUCUUUUGUAUAGCUACUGAGUUUAGAGUUAAACUAUGGAACCACAUUC